UACAGAGGGGGCAAGCGUUGUUCGGAAUUACUGGGCGUAAAGGGCGCGUAGGCGGCCUUCUAAGUCGGACGUGAAAUCCCCGGGCUCAACCCGGGAACUGCGUCCGAUACUGGAAGGCUUGAGUCCGGGAGAGGGAUGCGGAAUUCCAGGUGUAGCGGUGAAAUGCGUAGAUAUCUGGAGGAACACCGGUGGCGAAGGCGGCACCCUGGACAGGUAUUGACGCUGAGGCGCGAAGGCCAGGGGAGCAAACGGG
rnacentral:rRNA from 1 species